rnacentral:rRNA from 1 species
GACGAACGCUGGCGGCGUGCUUAACACAUGCAAGUCGAACGGAAAGGCCCUGCUUUUGUGGGGUGCUCGAGUGGCGAACGGGUGAGUAACACGUGAGUAACCUGCCCUUGACUUUGGGAUAACUUCAGGAAACUGGGGCUAAUACCGGAUAGGAGCUCCUGCUGCAUGGUGGGGGUUGGAAAGUUUCGGCGGUUGGGGAUGGACUCGCGGCUUAUCAGCUUGUUGGUGGGGUAGUGGCUUACCAAGGCUUUGACGGGUAGCCGGCCUGAGAGGGUGACCGGCCACAUUGGGACUGAGACACGGCCCAGACUCCUACGGGAGGCAGCAGUGGGGAAUAUUGCACAAUGGGCGGAAGCCUGAUGCAGCAACGCCGCGUGCGGGAUGACGGCCUUCGGGUUGUAAACCGCUUUCGCCUGUGACGAAGCGUGAGUGACGGUAAUGGGUAAAGAAGCACCGGCUAACUACGUGCCAGCAGCCGCGGUGAUACGUAGGGUGCGAGCGUUGUCCGGAUUUAUUGGGCGUAAAGGGCUCGUAGGUGGUUGAUCGCGUCGGAAGUGUAAUCUUGGGGCUUAACCCUGAGCGUGCUUUCGAUACGGGUUGACUUGAGGAAGGUAGGGGAGAAUGGAAUUCCUGGUGGAGCGGUGGAAUGCGCAGAUAUCAGGAGGAACACCAGUGGCGAAGGCGGUUCUCUGGGCCUUUCCUGACGCUGAGGAGCGAAAGCGUGGGGAGCGAACAGGCUUAGAUACCCUGGUAGUCCACGCUGUAAACGGUGGGUACUAGGUGUGGGGUCCAUUCCACGGGUUCCGUGCCGUAGCUAACGCUUUAAGUACCCCGCCUGGGGAGUACGGCCGCAAGGCUAAAACUCAAAGGAAUUGACGGGGCCCCGCACAAGCGGCGGAGCAUGCGGAUUAAUUCGAUGCAACGCGUAGAACCUUACCUGGGUUUGACAUGGAUCGGGAGCGCUCAGAGAUGGGUGUGCCUCUUUUGGGGUCGGUUCACAGGUGGUGCAUGGCUGUCGUCAGCUCGUGUCGUGAGAUGUUGGGUUAAGUCCCGCAACGAGCGCAACCCUUGUUCACUGUUGCCAGCACGUUAUGGUGGGGACUCAGUGGAGACCGCCGGGGUCAACUCGGAGGAAGGUGGGGAUGACGUCAAGUCAUCAUGCCCCUUAUGUCCAGGGCUUCACGCAUGCUACAAUGGCUGGUACAGAGAGUGGCGAGCCUGUGAGGGUGAGCGAAUCUCGGAAAGCCGGUCUCAGUUCGGAUUGGGGUCUGCAACUCGACCUCAUGAAGUCGGAGUCGCUAGUAAUCGCAGAUCAGCAACGCUGCGGUGAAUACGUUCCCGGG